GGGAUAUAACAACCUGGAAGCAGUAAUGGCGGCCAAACAUUGGACCAUUCCUUAGACAUUUUCACCAUUUCCCGCGAUCCUAGGGCUUUUCUCACCACCGCGCCGCCACUGCAUGAAAGUUGAGUGCCUGAAGUGCCCGCGGUGACCUGAAGUGCGGCUGAAAUAAGGCGGGAAGUGAGUGAAAUGACUGGUUGAAGUGGAGAAGGCAGGCAGGUUGGUGGCAGUGUACACUUUCAUCAUCUCUGAAAUUUGUGGAAACUCAAGGAAAAAAGCGCCAUAUUUGUGUCCCCUCGCUGUGUGUCGCCGGGGAAAGUGUCGCAGUGCUUAGGGGAGGAAUUGGCAGUGCUCAUUUUGCCCACCAGAACGCCGGCAGGUGACAAAAUAGUGCUUAAAUGUAGGGCGGGUGACAACUCUUGAAAUCUCGACUCCCCUGUUCACUUACUUUUUUUUAUUAUUUUUUUCAUUUUUCAUUUUCGGUUGUCGUGAUUCCGCCACUCACCGACACACUGACUCAUGUACAACCCUAUCAGGUAAGGCGACUCACCUGGACAGCCCCAGCCGGAUGUUGCCUACAGGUGUGAGAGCAAAGAAGGAAUAAGAGAAAACACAUGAUAAUAACUCCAUGUACGUAUUUUGAGUGUGUGUGUAUGUGUGUACGUUUAUAAACCUACACAAACGUACAUGAAACAGAAAACGGGAAUAUUUUUACGUACACAUGAAUGAAAAGUGGAUGGAGUAAAGGAGGAACAUUUGAUAAAGAAGGGAGAUAGAGAGAGAGAAGGAGAGAAAAGAGAGAAUUGAGAGAUAGAGGAAGGAAAGAAG